UACGUAAGGACCGAGCGUUGUCCGGAAUCAUUGGGCGUAAAGGGUACGUAGGCGGCUAGAAAAGUUAGAAGUCAAAGGCUAUAGCUCAACUAUAGUAAGCUUCUAAAACUAUUUAGCUUGAGAAAUGGAAGGGAAAGUGGAAUUCCUAGUGUAGCGGUGGAAUGCGCAGAUAUUAGGAAGAAUACCGGUGGCGAAGGCGACUUUCUGGCCAUUAUCUGACGCUGAGGUACGAAAGCGUGGGUAGCAAACAGGAUUAGAUACCCUGGUAGUCCACGCCGUAAACGAUGAGUGUUAGGUGUCUGGAGUCAAAUCUGGGUGCCGCAGCAAACGCAUUAAACACUCCGCCUGGGGAGUACGCACGCAAGUGUGAAACUC
rnacentral:rRNA from 1 species